GGUCCGGUGGCGCAGUUGGUAGCGCGUCUCCCCCCGUCUGAGAAGGUUGCGUGUUCGAAUCACGCCCGGGCCA